rnacentral:rRNA from 1 species
CUUAAAGUAAGGGUUGAAAAGCUUCUAGUUGAUCACACGAGACUUGUUGAGGAACAUGAGCUCCUUGUGACUAGUUCCAAGGUUGUCAAAGGUGACCUCAUUGCCCUCACCGAGUCUUAUGCUCAACUUAAAGCUACAACCAUUAAGGCUCUUACUUCCGUCCCUCAUAUUGAUUUAAAUGAUGAAUCUUGUACGGCUAACUUUGCUCAUGAUUGCACCUCUCUCCAAGAGGAGAAUAAGAAGUUAAAAGCCCAAAUUGAGAAAGGGCUUGUGUCAUGCAUUCAGGGGGAGAAAAACCUCAAUGACCUCUUGAGCAACCAAAAGGAGUGUGUUGCCAAGGAGGGAAUUGGGUUUGACCCCUCUUCUAAGAAGAAGAAGACCAAGAAGAAGAGCCACAAGAAGAAGAUCGGUCCUACUCCUCCUCCCCAACAAAAGAUAGCAUUUGUUCAUGAAGGACACAAGGAGAAGGAGAAGGAAAAAGGGAAUGUUGGGGAUGGCAAGGUCACUAGGGACAAGGCCAUUCCCAAAGAGUUUGCCGGCAAGAACAACCCAUCUUAUGUCCUCAUGAGAGGAGAUGAUGGUUAUACCUUUGCUAAAUUUGUUGGCACUAACUAUGAUGAUUAUGCUUGG